UAGGGUUCACCUGGAUGCGGG
rnacentral:piRNA from 1 species